rnacentral:rRNA from 1 species
GAUGAACGCUAGCGGCAGGCCUAACACAUGCAAGUCGGGGGAGAAGCCCUUUCGGGGGCAGAAACCGGCGCACGGGUGCGUAACGCGUAUGCAACCUACCUUUCACAGGGGGAUAGCCCGAAGAAAUUUGGAUUAAUACCCCAUAAUAUUAUUGGAUGGCAUCAUUUGAUAAUUAAAACUGCGGUGGUGAAAGAUGGGCAUGCGUCCUAUUAGCUAGUUGGAGUGGUAACGGCACCCCAAGGCUACGAUAGGUAGGGGUCCUGAGAGGGAGAUCCCCCACACUGGUACUGAGACAGGGACCAGACUCCUACGGGGGGCAGCAGUGAGGAAUAUUGGUCAAUGGUCGGAAGACUGAACCAGCCAUGCCGCGUGCAGGAAGAAUGCCUUAUGGGUUGUAAACUGCUUUUAUAUGGGAAGAAUAAGGUGUACGUGUACAUUGAUGACGGUACCAUAUGAAUAAGCAUCGGCUAACUCCGUG